rnacentral:rRNA from 1 species
CCUACGGGAGGCAGCAGUGGGGAAUAUUGGGCAAUGGAGGCAACUCUGACCCAGCAACGCCGCGUGAAUGAUGAAGGUCUUCGGAUUGUAAAGUUCUUUUCUAAGGGAAGAAGAAAGUGACGGUACCUUAGGAAUAAGCCUCGGCUAACUACGUGCCAGCAGCCGCGGUAAUACGUAGGAGGCAAGCGUUAUCCGGAAUGACUGGGCGUAAAGGGUGCGUAGGUGGUUUGACAAGUUAGUAGCGCAACUCCGGAGCUCAACUUCGGAACUACUACUAAAACUGUUGGACUUGAGUGCAGGAGGGGCAGGCGGAAUUCCUGGUGUAGCGGUGAAAUGCGUAGAUAUCAGGAGGAACACCGGUGGCGAAGGCGGCCUGCUGGACUGCGACUGACGUUGAGGCCCGAAAGCGUGGGGAGCAAACAGGAUUAGAUACCCUGGUAGUC